rnacentral:rRNA from 1 species
GACGAACGCUGGCGGCGUGCUUAACACAUGCAAGUCGAACGAAGUGGCGAACGGGUGAGUAACGCGUAAUCAACCUGCCCUUCAGAGGGGGACAACAGUUGUAAACGACUGCUAAUACCCCAUACUGACGAGGGGGAUUGCGUGUGAUUGGCUAGUUGGAGGGGGAACGGCCCACCAAGGCGAUGAUCAGUAGCCGGGUUGAAGUGAUGAACGGCCACAUUGGGACUGGGACACGGCCCAGACUCCGUAGGGAGGCAGCAGGUGGGAAUCUUCCGCAAUGGACGAAAGUCUGACUGAGCAACGCCGCGUGAGUGAUGACGGCCUUCGGGUUGUAAAGCUCUGUUAAUCGGGACGCGGUACCGGAAGAGAAAGCCACGGCUAACUACGUGCCAGCAGCCGCGGUAAUUC